rnacentral:rRNA from 1 species
GCUUGUCUCAAAGAUUAAGCCAUGCAUGUCUAAGUAUAAACUGCUUAUACUGUGAAACUGCGAAUGGCUCAUUAAAUCAGUUAUAGUUUAUUUGAUGGUACCUACUACUCGGAUAACCGUAGUAAUUCUAGAGCUAAUACGUGCGUAAAUCCCGACUCCUGGAAGGGACGUAUUUAUUAGACUUAAGCCAAUAUUCCUUGUGUCUAUUGCGAUGAUUCAUAAUAACUGAUCGAAUCUCAAAUUUGAGAUAAAUCAUUCAAGUUUCUGCCCUAUCAGCUUUCGAUGGUAGUGUAUUGGACUACCAUGGCAGUAACGGGUAACGAAGAAUUAGGGUUCGAUUUCGGAGAGGGAGCAUGAGAAACGGCUACCACAUCUAAGGAAGGCAGCAGG